UACGUAGGGGGCAAGCGUUGUCCGGAUUUAUUGGGCGUAAAGAGCGUGUAGGCGGUUAGGUAGGUCCGUUGUGAAAACUCGAGGCUCAACCUCGAGACGUCGGUUGAAACCGUUUGGCUAGAGUCCGGAAGAGGAGAGUGGAAUUCCCGGUGUAGCGGUGAAAUGCGCAGAUAUCGGGAAGAACACCCGUGGCGAAGGCGGCUCUCUGGGACGGUACUGACGCUGAGACGCGAAAGCGUGGGGAGCGAACAGG
rnacentral:rRNA from 1 species